rnacentral:tRNA from 1 species
GCCUACUUGGUCUAGUAGUAUGAUACCUCAUUCGGGUUUAACAGCCAGUUCGCCUUGCGAAUGUGCUUUGAGGUGGUCGGCGGUUCAAUUCCGCCAGUGGGCC